rnacentral:rRNA from 1 species
UACAGAGGUCUCAAGCGUUGUUCGGAUUCAUUGGGCGUAAAGGGUGCGUAGGCGGCCCGGUAAGUCGGGUGUGAAAUUUCGGAGCUUAACUCCGAAACUGCAUUCGAUACUGCGGUGCUUGAGGACUGGAGAGGAGACUGGAAUUCAUGGUGUAGCAGUGAAAUGCGUAGAGAUCAUGAGGAAGACCAGUGGCGAAGGCGGGUCUCUGGACAGUUCCUGACACUGAGACACGAAGGCCAGGGGAGCAAACGGG